rnacentral:lncRNA from 1 species
ACGCUUUAUAGAGAAAAAAUGACAAGGCCGGAGUGGUUAAAGCCCACUGCUUAUGGGUAAGUAUGUACGGUUUGGGAAAUCGAUCUUCAUUAUAGCCCAAAUACGAAGCGAAUAACCUUCCAUCCACUUUUAUCUGUAUUGCUCCGGCUUUGGAAAGAAAGCAACCGGCUCCUGCACUGCAGAACCCUCUCCCCGUACAAAAAAAGAGAACAGGUCCGAGACCAUACUAAAUCUUACUGCUAUCUUACAAGUGUGCUCAAAUGGUAUUGCAUUACUCUCUGAUCGUGUUAUAGAAAAUUGGGAUCUAAUAUGGUGGAGUGGAAACAGUGAUAAACAAUUGAUUGAUUGCCUUCAUUUUUAAGUUGGUGAAUUCCCACUUGAUUAAUUGAAAUCUUGCUUGAAUUUCAUCUGGGUUGAUUAGUUUUAAUGACUGUAAGGGCAUGAGUUUCUGGGCUCUCGAGGAAUGUUCUGCUGGCUCUUAAGCUCCAUAGUUUUAUGACAUCGCCGGUUGUUCUCUUCCCUCGUGUUUAGCAGACUUCGACCUUGAUCGUUGUACCAAGCGCAAGAAAAUAUUUCGAGUUUGCUGCUUCUAUUCGUUCUCUUAGGUGUACUCAUUGCUUUCAUUUCCUUGAAUGAGGUAGAUGAUGGUUAUUCUGAUCUCCAAAAUGAAUUUGUAGGCUCGUAAUGAUGUAUCGCAAAUGAGGGCAACGGUGUCUUUUAUCCGAAAUUGUUGUCUCAGUUGUUGCUUGAACCCUUGUAAAAGACGUUGUCUUACCAGCUGUUGAUCAUUGUGAUGAUAAUGAUAGUUGGCAAUUGAGUAUAAUUGUGUAUGCUUGGUGUGGCAAGUCUAAUCCCGAUGCAUGAGAUGUGGAUUGGGUAAUUAUGCAAUUUGCGUUCACUGUUCAUGGUCCUCCUAGCUGUUUCCUGUUUCCAGUCUCGUCAUCGUUUUUUGUAUUUUGCACAUGGACUAUUCAUCAUUGCUUACACAAGUAAUGAAUGAGAUUGCUCAGGCGACAUUUUGUGGGUAAGAGUGGGAAGUCUUCCUGCAGUUAAAUUGAUAUUGUUUGGAUUUAGCAUUCUGGAAUUUGACAGCCCAACUUUUAUUAUGAAUUUCUGUGUCGAUCAUGGAGCUUAAAGUUAAUUCGAACUUUAUCUUUGUGCGAGCCAACAAAUGUACUGGUGGUUAUCAUUCCGGACAACAAAACAGAGAAUUUUUUUUUUCCUGGUUCUUACAUGCACCUAAAGUUUUUUGUUUUCCUGGUUUUUACAUGCGCCUCUUUUCUUAUCCUUCUGGAUUUGUGGUAUCUCUAAGAUCAAGGAAGAAGUUCCUUUCUUUCGCACUUCCUUCUUAUUUUUUUCUAGUUUUGCUGCAUCCCAUCGUAUAUGGUUUUGUAUGUAGUAUUGUGCCACCUUUAUCUUGGUUUUUUAAGUACACCCUGCUUGUCCAAAGAGGGAUUCUCUCUCUCUCUCUCGGAUUUUGAAUUAAUAUUUCCUGUUUUUACAGGCAUAAACAACUGCAAACACUAGCAUGGAGUUAGCAGAC